rnacentral:rRNA from 1 species
UAGGGAAUCUUCCGCAAUGGGCGAAAGCCUGCCGGAGCAACGCCGCGUGAGUGAUGAAGGUCUUCGGAUCGUAAAACUCUGUUAUUAGGGAAGAACAAAUGUGUAAGUAACUACGCACGUCUUGACGGUACCUAAUCAGAAAGCCACGGCUAACUACGUGCCAGCAGCCGAGGUAAUACGUAGGUGGCAAGCGUUAUCCGGAAUUAUUGGGCGUAAAGCGCGCGUAGGCGGUUUUUUAAGUCUGAUGUGAAAGCCCACGGCUCAACCGUGGAGGGUCAUUGGAAACUGGAAAACUUGAGUGCAGAAGAGGAAAGUGGAAUUCCAUGUGUAGCGGUGAAAUGCGCAGAGAUAUGGAGGAACACCAGUGGCGAAGGCGACUUUCUGGUCUGUAACUGACGCUGAUGUGCGAAAGCGUGGGGAUCAAACAGG